AGCGAACGCUGGCGGCAGGCCUAACACAUGCAAGUCGAACGGAUCCUUCGGGAUUAGUGGCGGACGGGUGAGUAACACGUGGGAACGUGCCCUUUGGUUCGGAACAACUCAGGGAAACUUGAGCUAAUACCGGAUGUGCCCUUCGGGGGAAAGAUUUAUCGCCAUUGGAGCGGCCCGCGUCUGAUUAGCUAGUUGGUGAGGUAAUGGCUCACCAAGGCGACGAUCAGUAGCUGGUCUGAGAGGAUGAUCAGCCACAUUGGGACUGAGACACGGCCCAAACUCCUACGGGAGGCAGCAGUGGGGAAUCUUGCGCAAUGGGCGAAAGCCUGACGCAGCCAUGCCGCGUGAAUGAUGAAGGUCUUAGGAUUGUAAAAUUCUUCCACCGGGGACGAUAAUGACGGUACCCGGAGAAGAAGCUCCGGCUAACUUCGUGCCAGCAGCCGCAGUAAGAC
rnacentral:rRNA from 1 species